rnacentral:rRNA from 1 species
CCUACGGGAGGCUGCAGUGGGGAAUAUUGGACAAUGGGGGGAACCCUGAUCCAGCGACGCCGCGUGAGUGAAGAAGUAUUUCGGUAUGUAAAGCUCUAUCAGCAGGGCAGAAAGAAAUGACGGUACCUGACUAAGAAGCCCCGGCUAACUACGUGCCAGCAGCCGCGGUAAUACGUAGGGGGCAAGCGUUAUCCGGCUUUACUGGGUGGAAAGGGAGCGUAGACGGUGAUGCAAGUCUGAAGUGAAAGGCGGGGGCUCAACCCCCGGACUGCUUUGGAAACUGUAUGGCUGGAGUGCAGGAGAGGUAAGUGGAAUUCCUAGUGUAGCGGUGAAAUGCGUAGAUAUGAGGAGGAACACCAGUGGCGAAGGCGGCUUACUGGACUGUAACUGACGUUGAGGCUCGAAAGCGUGGGGAGCAAACAGGAUUAGAUACCCUUGUAGUC